rnacentral:rRNA from 1 species
CGGGAGGUUGGCUUAGAAGCAGCCAUCCUUUAAAGAUAGCGUAACAGCUCACCGGUCUAAUAGAGUUUCUGCGCCGAAGAUGUAACGGGGCUAAAAUCAUAUACCGAAUCUGUGGAUUUAUAAUUUUUUCGAAAAUUAUAACUGGUAGCGGAACGUUCUGUAAGCCUGUGAAGGGAUACCCGUGAGGGAUCCUGGAGGUAUCAGAAGUGCGAAUGCUGACAUAAGUAACGAUAAAAGAAGUGAAAAACUUCUUCGCCGAAAAUCCAAGGGUUUCUGCGCAAGGUUAAUCCGCGCAGAGUUAGUCGGCACCUAAGGCGAGGGCGAAAGCCGUAGUCGAUGGAAAUAAGGUUAAUAUUCCUUAACCAGAUGGUAGUGACGGAUCUUGUAAGUUGUGAGUUCUUAAUGGAUUGAGCUUGCCGCGAAAAGGUUCCAAGAAAUAGCUCCAUCAUUAGACCGUACCCUAAACCGACACAGGUGGAUUAAUAGAGUAUAUUUAGGCGCUUGAGAGAAUGAUGUUGAAGGAACUCGGCAAAAUGCUUCCGUAACUUCGGGAUAAGGAAGACCUGUUUUUAGGCAACUAGAGAUGGGUGGCACAAGCCAGGGAGAAGCGACUGUUUAUCAAAAACACAGGGCUCUGCUAACACGUAAGUGGAUGUAUAGGGUCUGACGCCUGCCCGGUGCUGGAAGGUUAAUGCGAUGGGUGCAAGCUCAUUUCUGAAGCCCCAGUAAACGGCGGCCGUAACUAUAACGGUCCUAAGGUAGCGAAAUUCCUUGUCGGGUAAGUUCCGACCUGCAUGAAUGGCGUAACGAUUUCUCCGCUGUCUCCAACAUCAACUCAGUGAAAUUGAAUUCUCCGUGAAGAUGCGGAGUUCGCGUAGUUAGACGGAAAGACCCCGUGCACCUUUACUGCAACUUUACAUUGGUGUUAGGAAAAACAUAUUUAGCAUAGGAGGGAGACAUUGAAGCAUAGGCGUCAGCUUUUGUGGAGUCACCAGUGAAAUACCUCUUUUGUUUUUCUUGAUAUCUAACUGAUUGCCGUCAUCCGGCAUCAAGACAUUGUAUGGUGGGUAGUUUGACUGGGGCGGUCGCCUCCCAAAUAGUAACGGAGGCGUGCGAAGGUAAGCUCAGAACGGUCAGAAAUCGUUCGUAGAGUGCAAUGGCAUAAGCUUGCCUGACUGUGAGACUGACAAGUCGAGCAGAGUCGAAAGACGGUCAUAGUGAUCCGGUGGUUCUGAGUGGAAGGGCCAUCGCUCAACGGAUAAAAGGUACGCCGGGGAUAACAGGCUGAUACUGCCCAAGAGCUCAUAUCGACGGCAGUGUUUGGCACC